CGACUUUCACUUGUUGGAGGCUCCAAUUUACGGGCGUUUGUAGCCGGUGUCCUUCGCUUCCUGUUCAGUGAUGCCGUGGGGCAGCAGUUCAGCAUGCUUGGGCAACGCAAGAAGAGAAGAUUGAAAGAUAUGGUUAUUUACAGCGUCAUUGAACAGGCCAUUAGGAGCAACUCUACAUAUGACAAUGCAACAUCCUAUGCGAUUCGUGAUGCGGCGGGAUCCUGGCUCAAGAACUGCACUGCGAGGAUGAUGACUGCUAAAAAGAAACUUGGCGAAGAUCCCAGUGACUCAAGCUCCUGUGACUAAGCAUUCAGAGUAGCAACUCAAUUUUUUUUUAUCAUCUGCUCUCAAAGUUGGGGCUGUGCUAUAGCUCAGAGUUUUGACAGCACACUCUCACACAAUCUUGUAUUGAGGCAAAUUCGUCCGUGCAUUUUCGUGCAUUUCGAUUCAUAGGGGCCGCACAAUGCCUGUAGAAAAAAAAUGUGGAGUGUGUUAGGUAUGAAGCAGACACUCGCAAAUUGUUUUCAAAUAAAGAUUGCACCUUUUA